rnacentral:rRNA from 1 species
UACGUAGGGGGCAAGCGUUGUCCGGAUUUACUGGGCGUAAAGAGCGUGUAGGCGGUCAUGCAGGUCCGUUGUGAAAACUGGAGGCUUAACCUCCAGACGUCGACGGAAACCGCGUGGCUAGAGUCCGGAAGAGGAGAGUGGAAUUCCUGGUGUAGCGGUGAAAUGCGCAGAUAUCAGGAAGAACACCAGUGGCGAAGGCGACUUACUGGACACAUAUUGACGCUGAGGUGCGAAAGCGUGGGGAGCAAACAGG